UUUUAUUGGAGCCAUGAAAUAUCAAAACAUAGAGGUUUGCUUCUGGAUAUACCAUUUUGAGUAGCUCAUCAUCUCACAAUCUCAUUAAGCUAGGAUAAACAAUGAGAGUUCUGGCUGGUAUUCUUCUUGUUGUUUGAUCACAUACACAAAAAACACAUGAACUUAUUCUUGAUCAACCAAAUUAGAUACAAAUUUAGUCAAUUUUGAUUUUCACUUAGCACAUUUUAAUUUUUAACGAAAAUCAAAACGACAUUGUUUUACUAAAAUAAAAAAAAAUCAAAAAUUGCAAUACAAAUAUUUAGCUUCCACAGUUUUGCUAAAAAAAAAACAUGAACACUUUAAUGAUCCAAUAAUAAUAAUUUUGUUUGGUUGACAAAUUAGAUAUAAACCAAAAAUUUUAGAUUUAAACCUAACAAAAACGAACCAAUAUCCGAUCAGAGAUGUAAAAUAACAUGAAUGAAUCUUGUAGAAUGGUACAAUACAUAUUCGAAUCCAAAAUAUUAUUAACCGAAUCCACAUGAGUAAUCCAAAAACCUAAGAACCAAAAACCCAACAAAUUUUUAAAACAUGAUCAAAAUAUCUGAAUAUUCAAAUAAAUAUGACUCAAUAAAUAUUUUAAUGGAUCUUCAUUCUUUCAUGCUUCUGCUCGAUCUUCAUAAGA
rnacentral:lncRNA from 1 species